CAGAAAUUUACCCUCUUGAAUGUUGUGAGAAUAGAGUAUUUGGUAAUAGAUCUUACAGCUGAAAAAAAAUUCCAGUUCGGUUUGAAUAUCAGUCUCUGUUUUGAAACUAGCCAGGACUGUUUGACAACUAUUGAAGUCUUCAAAGAUACCAUGCUGCCUAAAAUAUUUUGUGAUUGGGGAUCUGGUUUUCCACAGGAAUUGUCACUGACAGCAUUGUUAAAACAGACGACAGAGAAAAUUACAGAUGUAUUACCUAUAGAUAUUAUCAACACUAUUUUUGAUAGACUUGGGCUUGAUGAAUUUUUACUUUCUCCAACUUGUUCUAGAGCUUCAUAUCCAUUUUAUCACAAUGCCUGGA